UAGAAGAUCGAUAGGCAAGUGUUAAAGCUGAGAGCGGUCAUCGCCUCAUCGCGUCGUUUUAGGUGUUUUCAUCCAUCAGCGCCUCUAUGUGCACAAAUUGUGCACAUAGAAGCGCUGAGGAUGAAAUCACCUAAAACGACGCGAUGACCGCUUUCAGGUUAAAGAUAAUAACAGUACAUAUAUCGAUCGGUUGUUUCAACUCCAAAGAUAAAUGUGGAAUCUAUGUUGUCGCGUGAGCUCGGCUUCCACGGUUUCCACGCUAGAUGGCACCACCACUCCUAACAUCCGUUGCUGCAAUUUCAAACUUAUUGCAAUUCGCGCCAUCGCGUCAUUCGCGCCAGUUUUUUGUGAUCGUCCGUUUACGUUUGUCACGGUUUGUGUCGUGAUCUCCCUCGGCGAUGAAUCUCCACAGGAAUUCCGAUGCCUUUCGAUAGAUUUCACGACAUGUUUCGAGUUGAGUUGCUGCCAGCGGCUUUCAUCUAUAUGACGGUAAAAUGAGAUGAUUUAUGCGAACGUCUUCCUGCGGUCGGUAAGUGCCUUUCGACAAUUCUUUGUCUAUUCGUUUCACAUCACUUUUACGGCCGCCAUUACGCAAUACAAGUUCAUGUAUGAAUGCGUGAGUUAGGCUGCGUUCAGAUUCCCCACCCGAGUGUUUCCAGGUAUCAUUUUAUCCUUGUUAUUUACUGAAUGUUAAACAAGGAUAAAACUACAUCUGAGGACACUCGGGUGAAGAAUAUGAACGCACCCUUACGUAAGAGCGAAAUUUCGAGUCAGUCGUUCGUAUUGAUAGGUACGAAAUUAAUUCUCAUUCGCGAAUCAUUAGAUGAUCGAGGAUGUAGUUUUUAAUAGAUUCAUAAAUCGUUCAUAAUUCCUAUGAUUUUACGUGAAUUUCACGAUUGCGAGGGGCGGAAACAAAUUUACAAGCUGAUAUUUAUAAUUUGCAUGCUACAAAUUCAUAAAAGUUAAUUAUAUUUAUAAUUCAAAUGUAUUAUAAAAUCAUAAAUUUAACGUAUUUAAUCUAACAUACAUUUAUAACAUUAUUAUAUAUUUAAUAUCGUAGGUAUACGUACAAUAUAAUAUAUAAUACACGAGAUGAUAUAUAUUUAUACAUAAUAUAUUUAUGUUGUAGGUGAAAUGAAUGUAUAGAAAUGCGUAUGAGUUGCACGAGAUAAAAAUGCUUCUAAGAAAAAUCUUGAAAAGAGUAUCCAGUUUUGCGAUCCUCCCAUGGCUUCAUCGAGAAACACGAAAUGCAUGUUUUAUUCACAAAUAGAUUCACAAGAGAAAGGUAAAUAUUUUAAAGCUUGCAAACUGUGGCACUAUAAUAUAUAUUAAUUUAAUAUAUGAUAGACUUUUAUAUAUAUUAUUGAAAAUGGAGAUAUUAAGAUAAAGAUAUAUCGAGAGAUAUUAAAAUUAGGAAUAGAGAAUUGAGAGAUUGGGAGAGGGGGAAAAUGAGAUGAGAGAAGUGAGGUUGUACACAGUAUCAUAUUUUAUAUAUUCUCAGAUUAUAUUAUAGUCACGUAGUAAAGAAGCGGCAACAUUGACAAUACAACGGCUAUCUUCUCGGAGUCGGUCGCGUAUAAUCCACGUAUUUACGUUUCGACACAUACAAUUGGUUCUACCGUGGUUCUUUGUGAUUUUACUGUUUUAUUAAUAACAUAGAAAAUACAUCAGGGCUACGCCGUUCGCGGUGUUAGGACGGGCUCGCUCGCUCUCGUGUUACAUCAUCUGCGUGCACCAGGGGGGAGAAAAUUUUUCAGUGCUUCCAGCUGUUUAGCUGAAGCAUUUUUAUCAGUGACUAAAUUUUUUGUCAUAUAAAACAGAAUAUUUGCUUCCUGUUAAAAAUCCUCAAUUAAACAGCUUUUGCCGAGGGCAAACUGAAUUUUUUCCUCUAGUGUAUAGAGAUGCAAAAAACUGAGCGCGCCCAUUCCCCUCCUCCUC
rnacentral:lncRNA from 1 species